rnacentral:lncRNA from 1 species
UCCUUUCCAUUAUUUAAUACAAAACAUUUGCAACCGAAAACAUGUAAGUGAGAAACAUUUGGCUUUCGCCCUUUUAAAAGCUCAUACGGUGUUUUAUUUAGAAUUUUGCUUUGUACAUUAUAGGAUGGGUUGAAACACACCAAAUGAAUGUAUUUGAAUUAAAAUGACAUAUACAUAUUAUUUAGCUACUUAAUGUAUUUGUUUAACAUAAUAGUCUUCUUUAUCUGACAUUGUUUACUACACCAAAUAAACAUUGAAAGAAUGAUUUACUUAUUUU